rnacentral:rRNA from 1 species
GGCUAACGCUGGCGGCGUGUCUUAGCCAUGCAAGUCGAGCGGACUUAUGGGGGUAACUUAUAAGUCAGCGGCGGACGGCGGAGUAACACGUAGCUAACCUACCCUCUGGACGGGGAUAACCUACCGAAAGGUGGGCUAAUACCCGAUGUAGUCAUCCUGUAUAGGGGUGAUGAAAGGUGGGCUUCUGUUUACAAGCUCAUGCUGGAGGAGGGGGCUGCGGCCUAUCAGGUAGUUGGUAGGGUAAUAGCCUACCAAGCCGAUGACGGGUAGCCGGCCUGAGAGGGUGACCGGCCCGAGGGGCACUGAGAUACGGGUCCCACUCCUACGGGAGGCAGCAGGCUAGAAAUUUGGGCAAUGGGGGAAACCCUGACCCAGUGACGCCGCGUGCAGGAAGGAGCCCUUCGGGGUGUAAACGUGCUGUCGUGUAGGGAGAAGGGUACUAAGGUGAACAAUCUUAGUACUUGACGGUACUACAGGAGGAAGCCCAGGCUAACCUCGUG